AUUGAACGCUGGCGGCAGGCCUAACACAUGCAAGUCGAGCGAGCGGCGGACGGGUGCGUAAUGUAUGGGGACUGCCCGAUAGAGGGGGAUAACUAAUGGAAACGGUGGCUAAUACCGCAUACUAUCGGAUAAACCCUAUGGGAUUAGCUAGUAGGUGGGGUAAAGGCUCACCUAGGCGACGAUCUCUAGCUGGUCUGAUAGGAUGAUCCGCCACACUGGUACUGAGACACGCCCCAUACUCCUACGGAGGCAGCAGUGGGGAAUAUUGCACAAUGGGCGCAAGCCUGAUUCAGCCAUGCCGCGUGUAUGAAGAAGGCCUUAGGGUUGUAAAGGACUUUCAGCGGGGAGGCGUUACCCGCAGAAGAAGCACCGGCUAACUCCGUGCCAGCAGCCGCGGUAAUAC
rnacentral:rRNA from 1 species